GAUGAAGAACGCAGCGAAAGUGCGAAACGUAAUGUGAAUUGCAGAAUUCAGUGAAUCAUCGAAUCUUUGAACGCACAUUGCGCCCGCCAGUAUUCUGGCGGGCAUGCCUGUCCGAGCGUCAUUUCAACCCUCGAACCCCUCCGGGGGGUCGGCGUUGGGGACCUCGGGAGCCCCUAAGACGGGAUCCCGGCCCCGAAAUACAGUGGCGGUCUCGCCGCAGCCUCUCCUGCGCAGUAGUUUGCACAACUCGCACCGGGAGCGCGGCGCGUCCACGUCCGUAAAACACCCAACUUCUGAAAUGUUGACCUCGGAUCAGGUAGGAAUACCCGCUGAACUUAAGCAUAUCAAUAAGCGGAGGA
rnacentral:misc_RNA from 1 species